rnacentral:rRNA from 1 species
AUGGAAAUAAUGAAGUGUAUCGGCAAGACAGCAACAACAACAGCAAAAGAAAAGUUCACCAAAGUGGAUGAGCAUUGGCAUUGCCUGCAAGUGCAAGCAAGGAACCAUGGAUGCAUGCUUUGGCACAGAAGGAAAGCAACAUCGAGAUGCCAAAAGCAGGUUUUCACAGAGUGUGAUAAGGAAUUUAUGCAUCCUGAUAUUGUAGGGAGUGGAGAAAUCUGCAGCCCAUGGGUAGUAAAGGAUUUUGAUGACGGCGUCAAACAAUUGGCUGAUUUUUUGCGCAAAAGCGAUGGUAUAGAAGGCAAAACUAAAGCAUUCUUCUUUCGUGGCUGGAGCCGCGUGGCUCUGGGAGCAUCUGCUGUUCUUAGAGAUGUAGCAAAACUACUAAAAUACACAAUAUGUGAUGAUUCUGACAUGACAAAGCAUUUUAACUGA